AACCAUAGAAACCUGCGGAGUACCUGCGGAAGGAUCAUUACCGAGUUUACAACUCCCAAACCCCUGUGAACAUACCUAUACGUUGCCUCGGCGGAUCAGCCCGCGCCCUGUAAAACGGGACGGCCCGCCCGAGGACCCUAAACUCUGUUUUUAGUGGAACUUCUGAGUAAAACAAACAAAUAAAUCAAAACUUUUAACAAUGGAUCU
rnacentral:misc_RNA from 1 species